rnacentral:rRNA from 1 species
AGAGUUUGAUCCUGGCUCAGAAUGAACGCUGGCGGCAUGGAUUAGGCAUGCAAGUCGGACGGGGUGCAGCAAUGCACCCAGUGGCGAAAGGGUGCGCAACACGUGAAGAACCCGCCCCCGGGUCCCGGAUAAGCGCUGGAAACGGCGUCUAACACGGAAUGAUGGGCCCCCCCCGCAUGGGGGGAGUCCGAAAGUUCACGCCUGGGGAAGGCUUCGCGUCCCAUUAGCUUGUUGGCGGGGUGACGGCCCACCAAGGCUGCGACGGGUAGGUGGUCUGAGAGGAUGGUCACCCACACUGGGACUGAGACACUGCCCAGACUCCUACGGGAGGCUGCAGUCGAGAAUCUUCCGCAAUGGGCGAAAGCCUGACGGAGCGAUGCCGCGUGAGGGACGAAGGCCUUCGGGUCGUAAACCUCUGUCACCCGGGACGAAGACAAUGACGGUACCGGGAGAGGAAGCCACGGCUAACUACGUGCCAGCAGCCGCGGUAACACGUAGGUGGCGAGCGUUAUUCGGAUUCACUGGGCGUAAAGGGUCCGCAGGGGGCCCUCCAAGCCCGCCGUGAAAUCCCGGGGCUCAACCCCGGGCGUGCGGCGGGGACUGGCGGGCUGGAGUGCGCGAUGGGCAGACGGAACACCAGGUGUAGCGGUGGAAUGCGUGGAUAUCUGGUGGAACACCGAUGGCGAAGGCGGUCUGCUGGCGCGUCACUGACCCUCAGGGACGAAAGCGUGGGUAGCAAACAGGAUUAGAUACCCUGGUAGUCCACGCCGUAAACUGUGAGAACCAGGCAUGUCCGGGCCUACCCCGGGCGUGUCCAGGCCAACGCGAUAAGUUCUCCGCCUGGGGACUACGGCCGCAAGGCUAAAACUCAAAGGAAUUGACGGGGGCCCGCACAAGCGGUGGAGCAUGUUGCUUAAUUCGAGGCAACGCGAAGAACCUUACCCAGGUUUGACAUGCAGGGGCGCCGCGGUGAAAGCCGCGGGUCCUCCGGGACCCCUGCACAGAUGCUGCAUGGCUGUCGUCAGCUCGUGCCGUGAGGUGUUCGGUUAAGUCCGGCAACGAGCGCAACCCGUGCCGCCAGUUACCAUCGGUUGAAGCCGGGGACUCUGGCGGGACCGCCCGUGUCAAGCGGGAGGAAGGCGCGGAUGACGUCAAGUCCGUAUGGCUCCUACGCCUGGGGCUGCAAACGUGCUACAAUGGCCGGUACAAUGGGAUGCCAGGCGGCGACGCCGAGCGGAUCCCCAAAGCCGGCCCCAGUUCGGACUGCAGUCUGCAACUCGACUGCACGAAGUCGGAAUCGCUAGUAAAGGGGCAUCAGCAACGGCCCCUUGAAUACGUUCCCGGGCCUUGUACACACCGCCCGUCACAUCAUGGAAGCCGGCAUCUACCGAAGCCGCCGCAAGGCGUCCAAGCAGGUGCCGGUGACUGGGAUGAAGUCGUAACAAGGUAGCCGUAGGGGAACCUGCGGCUG